AUUGGCCUAUCAGCUUGUUGGUGAGGUAACGGUUCACCAAGGCUUCGACGGGUAGCUGGUCUGAGAGGACGAUCAGCCACACUGGGACUGAGACACGGCCCAGACUCCUACGGGAGGCAGCAGUAGGGAAUCUUGCGCAAUGGGCGAAAGCCUGACGCAGCGACGCCGCGUGCGGGAUGAAGGCCUUCGGGUCGUAAACCGCUUUCAGCAGGGACGAAAUUGACGGUACCUGUAGAAGAAGGCCCGGCCAACUACGUGCCAGCAGCCGCGGUGAUACGUAGGGGUCUAGCGUUGUCCGGAAUCAUUGGGCGUAAAGAGCUCGUAGGCGGUUCAGUUAGUCGGGUGUGAAAUCUCCACGCUCAACGUGGAGGGGCCACCCGAUACUGCUGUGACUCGAGUCCGGUAGGGGAGUUCGGAAUUCCCGGUGUAGCGGUGAAAUGCGCAGAUAUCGGGAGGAACACCAGUGGCGAAGGCGGAACUCUGGGCCGGAACUGACGCUGAGGAGCGAAAGCGUGGGGAGCGAACAGGAUUAGAUACCCUGGUAGUCCACGCCGUAAACGUUGGGCACUAGGUGUGGGACUCUAUCGACGGGUUCCGUGCCGUAGCUAACGCAUUAAGUGCCCCGCCUGGGGAGUACGG
rnacentral:rRNA from 1 species